UGCUAUACAUGCAGUCGAGCGAACAGACGAGGAGCUUGCUCCUUUGACGUUAGCGGCGGACGGGUGAGUAACACGUAGGUAACCUACCUAUAAGACUGGGAUAACUUCGGGAAACCGGAGCUAAUACCGGAUAAUAUUUCGAACCGCAUGGUUCGAUAGUGAAAGAUGGCUUUGCUAUCACUUAUAGAUGGACCUGCGCCGUAUUAGCUAGUUGGUAAGGUAACGGCUUACCAAGGCAACGAUACGUAGCCGACCUGAGAGGGUGAUCGGCCACACUGGAACUGAGACACGGUCCAGACUCCUACGGGAGGCAGCAGUAGGGAAUCUUCCGCAAUGGGCGAAAGCCUGACGGAGCAACGCCGCGUGAGUGAUGAAGGUCUUCGGAUCGUAAAACUCUGUUAUUAGGGAAGAACAAACGUGUAAGUAACUGUGCACGUCUUGACGGUACCUAAUCAGAAAGCCACGGCUAACUACGUGCCAGCAGCGGCCGGGUAAUAAA
rnacentral:rRNA from 1 species